rnacentral:rRNA from 1 species
CAAUAGCGUAUAUUAAAGUUGUUGCAGUUAAAAAGCUCGUAGAUGGAUUUCUGGUUGAAGCGACCGGUCGGGCGUUGAUUCGUCUGCACUGGAGUCGGUUUUGGCCAUCCUCUAGGAAAGUGCGUCUGGUAUUAAGUUAUCGGGCGUAUGAUCCUGGUCUUUUACUGUGAAAAAAUUAGAGUGUUUAAAGCAGGCCUUCGCCUUGAAUACAUUAGCAUGGAAUAAUAAGAUAGGACUUUGGUCUAUUUUGUUGGUUUGCAGACCGAAGUAAUGAUUAAUAGGGAUAAUUGGGGGUAUUUAUAUUCCGAUGUCAGAGGUGAAAUUCUUAGAUUUUCGGAAGAUAAACUUAUGCGAAAGCAUUUACCAAGGAUGUUUUCAUUAA